UACGUAGGGGGCAAGCGUUGUCCGGAAUCAUUGGGCGUAAAGAGCGUGUAGGCGGCUUGGUAAGUCCGCUGUGAAAGUCCAGGCUCAACCCUGGAAAGCCGGUGGAAACUGUCAAGCUUGAGUCCGGAAGAGGCGAGUGGAAUUCCUGGUGUAGCGGUGAAAUGCGCAGAUAUCAGGAGGAACACCAAUGGCGAAGGCAGCUCGCUGGGACGGUACUGACGCUGAGACGCGAAAGCGUGGGGAGCAAACAGG
rnacentral:rRNA from 1 species